rnacentral:rRNA from 1 species
UUAUCUCUGUAGAGUCUGCAUAUCAAUAAGCGGAGGAAAAGAAACUAACUAAGGAUUCCCUUAGUAACGGCGAGUGAAGCGGGAAGAGCUCAAAUUUGAAAUCUUCAAGGUUUUACCUUGACGAAUUGUAGUUUAAAGAAGUGUUUUCUGUUGAAGUUUUGGUAAAAGUUCUUUGGAAUAGGACAUCAUAGAGGGUGAGAAUCCCGUAUUUGACCAUUAUUUCCAGCUUUGUGAUACACUUUCAAAGAGUCGGAUUGUUUGGGAAUGCAGUCCAAAAUGGGUGGUAAAUUUCAUCUAAAGCUAAAUACUGGCGAGAGACCGAUAGCGAACAAGUACCGUGAGGGAAAGAUGAAAAGAACUUUGAAAAGAGAGUUAAACAGUACGUGAAAUUGUCAAAAGGGAAGCGUUUGACACCAGUGUUGUUUUCUCGAAAAUCAAUUAAAAAUGGUGGGAUUUUGUGUUGUAUUGACUUUAUCAGCUUUCUGCACUUUUUUCCUAUCUUUUUUAAUGCACUUUUCGUUUAACAAGUCAACAUCAAUUUCUUUUGCUGUAAAAGAGUCAUUGGAAGGUGGCUUUCUUUUCGGAGAAAGUGUUUAUAGCCUUUGACUUCUGCAGUCGGAGAGAUUGAGGUCUGCAGCGUAGAUCCUUCGGGGUUAGAUACAUUUGUGCUAAGCUAUAGCCUUUCAUAGACAACUUGUUGACUAUGAUCAGUCAUGUAGCUUACUCGCUUAUGCUAUUUUACCUACGCUUAGGAUGUUGAAUCUGUGCGAGACUAC